UACGUAGGGGGCUAGCGUUGUCCGGAAUCAUUGGGCGUAAAGCGCGCGUAGGCGGCCCGGUAAGUCCGCUGUAAAAGUCAAAGGCUCAACCUUUGAAUGUCAGUGGAUACUGCCGGGCUAGAGUCCGGAAGAGGCGAGUGGAACUCCUGGUGUAGCGGUGGAAUGCGCAGAUAUCGGGAGGAACACCGGUGGCGAAGGCGGUUCUCUGGGCCUUACCUGACGCUGAGGAGCGAAAGCGUGGGGAGCGAACAGG
rnacentral:rRNA from 1 species